rnacentral:lncRNA from 1 species
AUUUUAGGAGCAAUUUUCAAAUCAAGAUCUUCCCACCAUGUCUAGUGUAGUGAUUUUUUUUCAGUUUGUAAUACAAUUUUACACAUUCGUUGGUCAUAUAUUGUUUAAAAGACACAAUACUAACACCUGUUAGGGAAAAGAAUCCUGUCUUUGAAAAGUAAAAAAAAUCUAGGGGAGAGAGGUUGAAAAAGAAAGAGGAAGAGCUAAGUAACUAGAAAUAUAAGGAAAUGUGAAAAUGACCUAGAGCCUACUUUAGCUUGGGUAAUCAGACACAGCCUCUCUGAGAAAGUUGCUGUUUAAGCUAAGCCCUGAUUAUCAGAGUUAUCCAACCAGGAUGCUGACCUGAAGGUCAUAUGUCACUAUGGAUAUUAGUAUUAUAGAAUUUUGGAGAAGAUAAGAGUCUAAUUUGGUUGUGGGCUCCAGAAAGUUUUCAGAUAAGGUUAAAAUGAAUGGCUGAACAUUUCUGAAGCAGAGGUUAUCCUAAGGAAAAUGAAGUUUGCGACCCAGAUAGUUAAUCAUCUAAGGGACACUACUCAAGUUAUUCUUCAAGAACAGGAAAGCUCAUCUAAAGGAAAGUUAACUAGGUGCUGAAGAUACUGCAAGGAGAGAGAUAAAAUCCCUCUUACAGAAUAAAGAUUUCUCAAGAUUUAGCUUCGUGGAAUGA